CAUAUUUCAAAAAUGGCAUCACGUCUUGCUAAUAUCUGAUGCCAUUUUUGAGCUAUGUA
rnacentral:pre_miRNA from 1 species